GAAAUUGUUACUUUAACUUCCAUGGAAGAAGUGGAGCCAUGGUGGUGAAGCCUACAAGGAGAGCCAGUGCAACCAUAAGGCAGUCUCCAGGUGAUUGUUAGGAGGGGAGUGCACAGAACACAAUGCUACCCUCGUGCCAGUCCUGACACACAGAAGUUCUGGUGGGACACAAUAAGACACACAGAAGGGCUGGGGGGGUUACAAAGAUACAAAAAGGGUUUGAGGGAAGAGAUACAGAAAAGGACAUAGAG